CGCCCACUCUUCUCCCUCCCCUCCAGAAGUCGGAGUGCUGUUUUUGUUGUUGGUGAGAGGUGAGGGGAACAGCUGAUCCGUCUGUUGGGAGAACAGAUAUCUCAAGGCCAGGAUGGAAGAAUCACCACUAAGCCGGGCACCAUCCCGUGGUGGAGUCAACUUUCUCAAUGUAGCCCGGACCUACAUCCCCAACACCAAGGUGGAAUGUCACUACACCCUUCCCCCAGGCACCAUGCCCAGUGCCAGUGACUGGAUUGGCAUCUUCAAGGUGGAGGCUGCCUGUGUUCGGGAUUACCACACAUUUGUGUGGUCUUCCGUGCCUGAAAGUACAGCUGAUGGUUCCCCCAUUCACACCAGUGUCCAGUUCCAAGGUACAAGGGAAGAUGGAAAAUUGGGAGAGAGGAGCCAAGGGAGUGGAGGUUUGAAAGAAGGUAGUGGGCUCAGAAACAUUGAAAGUUAGGCACAAAGGACAAGGAAAAAUAAACGAAAAUAAAUAUAAUGAGAAUAUAUCCAACAGGGCUCAGCAGAUAGAGAAUCACGGGAUUAUCGCAGAAUCAGGGACAUAGAAACAGAAGGAACUUCAGAGGGCAUCUAGUCCCGUGUCCUACCCAA
rnacentral:sRNA from 1 species